rnacentral:rRNA from 1 species
UACGAAGGGUGCAAGCGUUAAUCGGAAUUACUGGGCGUAAAGCGCACGCAGGCGGUUGGUUAAGUCAGAUGUGAAAGCCCCGGGCUCAACCUGGGAAUUGCAUUUGAAACUGGCCAACUAGAGUACGUGAGAGGGGGGUAGAAUUCCAAGUGUAGCGGUGAAAUGCGUAGAGAUUUGGAGGAAUACCAGUGGCGAAGGCGGCCCCCUGGCACAACACUGACGCUCAGGUGCGAAAGCGUGGGGAGCAAACAGG